rnacentral:rRNA from 1 species
GACAUAGGUGGCAAACGUUAUCCGGAAUCAUUGGGCGUAAAGGGUGCGUAGAUGGUAAAAUAAGUUAAUAGUGGCAAAUUAAGGCUUAACCUUAUGGAAGCUAUUAAUACUGUUUUACUUGAGUGCAGGAGAGGUUAACGGAAUUCCCUGUGGAGCGGUGAAAUGCAUAGAUAUAGGGAAGAACACCAAUAACGGCGAAGGCAGUUAACUAUUCUGUUACUGACAUUGAGGCACGAAAGCGUGGGGAGCGAAAAGG